rnacentral:rRNA from 2 species
UGGUUUUCAGGAUCCACCUGUUCCCAUCUCGAACACAGUAGUUAAGCUCAUAAACGCCGAAAGUACUUGGCUGGAGACGGCCUGGGAGGAUAGGA